AUUGAACGCUGGCGGCAUGCCUAACACAUGCAAGUCGAACGAGACGCGGAAGGGCGAGUAAUGGCUGGGAAACUGCCCGAUGGAGGGGGAUAACUAAUGGAAACGGUAGCUACUAACGCCUACAACCGGAUGUGCCCAGAUGGGAUUAGCUAGUAGGUGGGGUAAUGGCUCACCUAGGCGACGAUCCCUAGCUGGUCUGAGAGGAUGACCAGCCACACUGGGACUGAGACACGGUCCAGACUCCUACGGGAGGCAGCAGUGGGGAAUAUUGCACAAUGGGCGAAAGCCUGAUGCAGCCAUGCCGCGUGUGUGAAGAAGGCCUUCGGGUUGUAAAGUACUUUCAGCGGGGAAGCGGUACCCGCAGAAGAAGCACCGGCUAACUCCGUGCCAGCCGCCGCGGUAAUUC
rnacentral:rRNA from 1 species